rnacentral:rRNA from 1 species
AGGUCAGGCGGGACUACC